rnacentral:rRNA from 1 species
UACUAAUCGAGGUGUGCAUGGUUGUUGUCAUCGUCCGAGGUGUCAGGUAAGUCCUAUAACGAGCGCAACCCCUACCCUCAGUUGCCAGCUGGUCAAGCAGGGGACUCUGGGGGAACUGCCUGCGCAAGCAGAGAGGAAGGCGGGGAUGACGUCAAAUCAGCACGGCCCUUACGUCUGGGGCGACACACGUGUUACAAUGGUAGGUACAGAAGGCAGGUUAAUGGUGACAUUGAUCAAAUCUUAAAAACCUAUCUCAGUUCGGAUUGGAGUCUGCAACUCGACUCCAUGAAGUUGGAUUCGCUAGUAAUCGCGCAUCAGCCAUGGCGCGGUGAAUACGUUCCCGGGCCUUGUACACACCGCCCGUCAAGCCAUGGAAGCUGGGGGUGCCUGAAGUUCGUGACCGCAAGGAGCGACCUAGGGCAAAACCGGUGACUGGGGCUAAGUCGUAACAAGGUAGCCG